GAUCAGUGACCGGCCGGCCCCAUUAAUUUCGUGAACAUGCAACAUUUAUGCAAAGUGAUGCUGACUCAUAGCCACAUGCUAACAUGCCAUCAGCGUAGAAGAUCUAUACUGUGAGUGAAGACCCAAAGUUCACCAGAGUAAACCUCAAGUGGACCACCAUGAAAAUGUUCAUAACAGCAAACCGAAAAAGACAUCUCCCAGCUGACCAUGGAUAUUUUAAAGAAGCUAACAAAGGCUGUGAGGAAAAUUUUGACUGAGAACACCUGCUUGUGGGGUGAUUCUAGGAGGUCGAGGCUGAGGAGCUACAGCGAUGGAGGGAUGAAAGAACCACGAGAGAGGGGUUGAGGGGGAAGACCGCGAGAGGCUAACAGGUGCUUCCUCUAUGGGACUCUGGGAAAGAAGACGACUGGUAAUAUGAAGCAGCAGAGGCAAGGAGCAACCACUAGUGGGCCCCAGGAAGACGUCCUCACUCCUCUCGCCGUCUCACCACUGCAUCAACCGAGUCGGACCCCCUCCUCCCCGUCCUUUGUCUCCUGCUGUCUCAACAGCACUCGCUGCGUGUUGGAAGGUGCAGAAGGGCCUGUUGCCAGAGAGACAAUUCA